AGAGUUUGAUCAUGGCUCAGAGCGAACGCUGGCGGCGUGCUUAACACAUGCAAGUCGAACGAUGAAGCUUUAGCUUGCUAGAGUGGAUUAGUGGCGCACGGGUGAGGAAUAUAUAGCUAAUGUGCCCCUUAGAGGGGGAUAACAGUUGGAAACGACUGCUAAUACCCCAUACUCCUUCUUACUAUAAGGUAAGUUGGGAAAGUUUUUUCGCUAAGGGAUCGGGCUAUACGGUAUCAGCUUGUUGGUGAGGUAAUGGCUCACCAAGGCUAUGACGCCUAUCUGGUCUGAGAGGAUGAUCAGACACACUGGAACUGAGACACGGUCCAGACUCCUACGGGAGGCAGCAGUGGGGAAUAUUACACAAUGGAGGAAACUCUGAUGUAGCAACGCCGCGUGGAGGAUGACACAUUUCGGUGCGUAAACUCCUUUUAUAUGGGAAGAUAAUGACGGUACCAUAUGAAUAAGCACCGGCUAGCUCCGUGCCAGCAGCCGCGGUAAUACGGAGGGUGCAAGCGUUACUCGGAAUCACUGGGCGUAAAGCGCGCGCAGGCGGCCCGUUAAGUUGGAUGUGAAAUCCUAUGGCUCAACCAUAGAACUGCAUCCAAAACUGAUGGGCUAGAGUCUGGGAGGGGAAGAUGGAAUUAGUGGUGUAGGGGUAAAAUCCGUAGAGAUCACUAGGAAUACCAAAAGCGAAGGCGAUCUUCUGGAACAGUACUGACGCUGAGGCGCGAAAGCGUGGGGGAGCAAACAGGAUUAGAUACCCUGGUAGUCCACGCCCUAACUAUGAAUGUUAGUCGUC
rnacentral:rRNA from 1 species